GACGAACGCUGGCGGCGUGCUUAACACAUGCAAGUCGAACGGAAAGGCCCUGCUUUUGUGGGGUGCUCGAGUGGCGAACGGGUGAGUAACACGUGAGUAACCUGCCCUUGACUUUGGGAUAACUUCAGGAAACUGGGGCUAAUACCGGAUAGGAGCUCCUGCUGCAUGGUGGGGGUUGGAAAGUUUCGGCGGUUGGGGAUGGACUCGCGGCUUAUCAGCUUGUUGGUUGGGUAGUGGCUUACCAAGGCUUUGACGGGUAGCCGGCCUGUGAGGGUGACCGGCAAAAAUGGGACUGAGAUACGGCCCAGACUCCAACGGGAGGCAGCAGUGGGGAAUAUUGCACAAUGGGCGGAAGCCUGAUGCGGCAACGCCGCGUGCGGGAUGACGGCCUUCGGGUUGUAAACCGCUUUCGCCUGUGACGAAGCGUGAGUGACGGUAAUGGGUAAAGAAGCACCGGCUAACUACGUG
rnacentral:rRNA from 1 species